rnacentral:rRNA from 1 species
AACGAACGCUGGCGGCAUGCCUAACACAUGCAAGUCGAACGAGACCUUCGGGUCUAGUGGCGCACGGGUGCGUAACGCGAGGGAACCUGCCCUUAGGUUCGGAAUAACUCCCCGAAAGGGGUGCUAAUACCGGAUAAUGUCUUCGGACCAAAGAUUUAUCGCCUCUGGAUGGGCCCGCGUUGGAUUAGCUAGUUGGUAGGGUAAAAGCCUACCAAGGCGACGAUCCAUAGCUGGUCUGAGAGGAUGAUCAGCCACACUGGGACUGAGACACGGCCCAGACUCCUACGGGAGGCAGCAGUGGGGAAUAUUGGACAAUGGGCGAAAGACUGAUCCAGCAAUGCCGCGUGAGUGAUGAAGGCCUUAGGGUUGUAAAGCUCUUUUAACAGGGAUGAUAAUGACAGUACCGGGAGAAUAAGCGCCGGCUAACUCCGUG